GGGACGAUGCGGCCGGGUUUUGCGGUCGUUUUUAGAUCCAAACUGCUCGGAUGGUGUAAUGAUACAAGAUCGUUGAUAAUGGCCGCCGGGAUUCUGCUGCAGCUCGAAUCUAUUGUGGGACGAGUAGAUGCAUCGGCUACCAACAACGUGGUUCGAAUUUCAACGAGGUGUAAACACGUUGUGUACAUCGUGCUCGAGUUCUACUACUUACUCAGAAAAGCUGUUUGUUCAUAGGACAGGACUCUCCGAGUUGUUUUACCAUCAGCUUCAAGUGUCAAGUGCUCGUACGAAUAACUGCGCGACUGCA